rnacentral:sRNA from 1 species
UUGCUAUAGAAAUUUUGGGGCUUCUGAU